GAAACACUAGGGGUUCUGCCCUUUCCUCCCAUUCUCACUUAUUCAAAAAAGGAAAGAGACCUAGGGUCUCUCCUCUCCCUCUGCUGACGACACCAUCAGCCACGAGGCGCCCUCGUCGGCUACUCCCCACCUCGCCGGAGUCGUUGCCACUCACGAAUCGCCGGCAGUUUCUCCCUGAAGUCACCGCCAGCGACAACGCCGUCACUUCCCUACACCAUCCAAGAGCGCCGUCGCAGAACACCAUCCUCGUCCUCGUUCAUUCUGAGACCUAGGGUCUCCUUCUCUGCGCAAGAGCACCCCGAGAAGCCACCUUCGUCACUCAACGUCCACGACUCAGCCUCCGCCUUCUCUCUCCCUCCGUCGGCGAAACCCAAAGCCACCACCGUUCAACGUCGUCGUUGUCCUCGCCGGCGCCGCCAGCACCGCUCCCCUUCUUCCUCAGUUCGAGAGUUUCCUUUCUCUUCCUCUCUUGUUUUUUGAACGCCACAUGUUGAUUGAUUCUUGAUUCCUCGGUUGAUUGGUGUUUCGUUCACUGGGAUUGGAAAUGGCGGGAUUGGAAACGGUGGAAAACGACCUCGAGGUUAAGGCCAAACUGUUAUCCAGAUUGAGGGAAACCUUCGCUUCUGUUUUUUGCUUAUUACAAUUUUCUAGCAUGUUUUCUAACUGUACGCAAAUGGAUAUUAAAAUCUGAUACUGGGGAAUAUACACCUAUUUCCUGUUGUCGUUUAUAACUGAUGAAUCUUGUUUGCAUGGAAAUUGUAUUUUGGGUGCAGUUUUUGAUUGACAGAGGAUAUCGCAAAGUAAACGAACAACCAUAUACCAUAUACACGCAUAUUUCAUUCAUGUUCCAGACAUGUAACAGAGAUAUAUAACAGGGGCAUGUGACAAAGCAGCAAACAUUCACAUACAACCAAGGGCCGGGAAAGACAACUUACCUUCACCGCUUUCAAAGAAAAAUGGGAAAGGUAAAUGGUUCUCCUCUGGCCGUGAGACCCUUUAGUGAUGAUCGGUGAUGGUGGCGCGCGAUCUUCUCCUCUCUUUUUCAGGUGUUGGCUUCUCGUUUUCUUCCUCUGCUCAUGAAAUGGUGGAUGCCAUCACAAAGACUGAGACUGAAUGAUGAUUGAAGAUGAAGGUCCAAAGAGGUUGCCUUUCUUCUUUGUAUGCAAAAUGAGGGUUCUCCUUCUCAUGAUAUUAGCCCCUGUUGUCUUCUUGUGUUCUCUCUUCAGUGAAUGGAGUUGAGAGUGAGCAAUGAAAGUGGAUGACUCGUUAAUGGUAGAGGUGAAUGAUGUUCAAGGUCUCCCCUAGAGCGUGGUCCUCAGACCUCUCCUCUCUGCCCCUCCUGUUGUAUCUUUCUUAGAAAACCAAUUUUCAAGAAGGCUCCCCUUCUCUGCUCUGGGAUUUCAUGCUUGUCUUUUUCCUUUUCUUGUUUAUUCAUUGCAUCAGUUGACAAAUGAAACAUUCAAAAUCUUCCUUCUUUGAUGAAUGUAUGCAGUUCACAGUUCAACCUAAGAAAAAUUUGGAAUAGGAACCAGGUCCUUUCUCGC